CAGGCUGAAUUCCAAACCUCCAGUUGGCUCGGCUUCUCCCAGACUAUUGGAGGAAUGAAGGCUGCAGUGAGAGAAGACCUUCGCUCCGGAUCUUGCGGCAAGAGAUGGACCAAGGUUCGGCCUCCCUUCAGAAAUUGGCAGUGCCCCCUCCAGCCGAGGGUCCAGGAGAUGAGGAGAAGCACCAGAGCAGCAAGGAGGAGGCUUGACUGUCCCGACCACCCCGGCACCCACCAAAGCGGAACCUGAACCGAGCCGGCCAGGGAGAUCAGGGCGGCCGCCGUGACUAGCAGAACGAUCCCUCCUGGAGGGACUCUGUACUGACAGCUACACCAACGAGGGAGAGUACGAGGAAGACGUGAUCGGGGGUCAAGCUGACAAGUGGAGACCGGGACACCCUGAGAGAAGAUGAGAGUUGACCUGUCCAUCGGGAAAAAAUAAGUAUCUAAUCGUAGACUAACCAAGACACACUUGGAAACGGUCAUUUACUGCUCGUGUCAAAUGAUUCGAACUCUGUUAGGUCUCCGUCUCUCUCUCUCUCUCUCUCUCUCUCUCUCUCUCUCUCUCUCUCUCUCUCUCUCUCUCUCUCUCUCAUUUUUCUAUUCAAGAUGAAAAAGAUAUUUGGACUUUUCCUCAGAGAAUAUUUACCUGUUCCAUUUUCAGGCGAAAGAACUCCGGUUAGGAUGUUGCUUUUCCUCCUUAAAAUUCAGUCGGGAGAGAGACGGCAGGGUCAGGGAGCCUUUCGUUAGGAAGAAAUAAUAAGGAAAAUGAAAGAGAGAUUAAAUACCUAGUACU